rnacentral:rRNA from 1 species
UGGGGAAUAUUGGACAAUGGGGGCAACCCUGAUCCAGCAAUGCCGCGUGUGUGAAGAAGGUUUUCGGAUUGUAAAGCACUUUCGACGGGGACGAUGAUGACGGUACCCGUAGAAGAAGCCCCGGCUAACUUCGUGCCAGCAGCCGCGGUAAUACGAAGGGGGCUAGCGUUGCUCGGAAUGACUGGGCGUAAAGGGCGUGUAGGCGGUUUGUACAGUCAGAUGUGAAAUCCCCGGGCUUAACCUGGGAGCUGCAUUUGAUACGUGCAGACUAGAGUGUGAGAGAGGGUUGUGGAAUUCCCAGUGUAGAGGUGAAAUUCGUAGAUAUUGGGAAGAACACCGGUGGCGAAGGCGGCAACCUGGCUCAUAACUGACGCUGAGGCGCGAAAGCGUGGGGAGCAAACAGGAUUAGAUACCCUGGUAGUCCACGCUGUAAACGAUGUGUGCUAGAUGUUGGGUAACUUAGUUAUUCAGUGUCGCAGUUAACGCGUUAAGCACACCGCCUGGGGAGUACGGCCGCAA